ensembl:lncRNA
AGCUAUGUGUCAGAGAAAAAUCAUUCCUGAACCCACCACUGGUGAGGGCAGAUUAGAUCCUAAACUGGUAAUGAAAAAUCAUGAAAACACGUGGAAGCUGUUUUUAUCUUCUGUUUGCCUUUUCAUAUACUUAAGUGCUUAUUUUGAAUACCUUUUCGUGUAUUUCCAGUUAUGUCUGUCAUAUUAAUCCCUGGUGACACUAUUGAGUAUAUGUCACAUUACACAGUACUGAAGAAUAGGCUUGAGCAGAAACCUCAGACAUCUGUGGAUUUGGUUGAAGUACAACUGUGCUUUACAUGUGAGAGUUGUCUCAAACACACAUGCAUUCCUCAGACUUGACUUUUGCAGUUAUAACAAAAAUUGUGUUGAUUUAGCAGCUUUAUCACUUUUUCUCCUUACUGAUUUCACAGUGAAGAAAUAAACAUAGUAAUCUUUGUGUUUCUUUAAUACUUGAAUGUAAAAUUUCCCAGUUUAUCUGGGACAAUGAGUAUAAUUAUACCAUUCUAGACAUGGGAUAUGUUCUGGACUAAAAAGGAAUAUUUAUAUUCCUGCAAAUACUAGUCUUUUCUUUACCAUAACUUCUGUGCGGGCUUUUGAGUAAUGAAGUUUUCCUUGGCCAGUUUAUCAGAACCAUUUAAAUGCUUGACAUGUGUAAACCAGUGUUUCAGAGCAUAUAAAAUCCAGUUUCAGUGCCAUUAAAAUCCAUAUAUAAAAUCCAAGUUCUCACCUGUAAUUAACGGGCAAUCACUUGUAAUUGCCCUAUGUCUCUUGUUUUUUACAGCGCUCUUGUACAAUCUUAUUACUCGGGUUACUCAUCAAGAUCUGGAUCCAGCUGCCCUGCCCUGAUUUCAGUUUUCAGUUCUGACAUGGGAUGGCUCCUUGUACAGCUCCCUGUGAACAGUCAGCCUGCAGGUCCUAAGGAGAGAUCAAACAUCGAGGUGAGCGUGAGCUUUCAUGGCAUUGGCAAAGCUGAACAUCACAGCGACCAUUAA